rnacentral:lncRNA from 1 species
CAGAGAAGAUCAUGGAAACAGCUGAAUCUGGGGCCCUCUUGUUCUGGGAGCUAGAUGUCCCCAGUCUGCGGGGGGGACGUACCUUCCCAAAGGGCAUGGUGUAAUACUCCACGUAGUCAUCUUUAAUUUCCAGGGGCUCCUUGCUGUCAUCAGCUACAAUCACGGUAAAGACAUUGUAAGGUUACCCAACUUGG